GGUCAUGUCUGGGCCCAUAGCACCUGAACAUGCCUGAUCUUGGAAGCUAAGCAGUGUCGGGCCUGGUUAGUACUUGGAUGGGAAAAUUUAGCAGGUCACCAAGGAUU
rnacentral:rRNA from 1 species